AGUGAACGCUGGCGGUAGGCCUAACACAUGCAAGUCGAACGGCAGCACAGUAAGAGCUUGCUCUUACGGGUGGCGAGUGGCGGACGGGUGAGGAAUACAUCGGAAUCUACUUUUUCGUGGGUGAUAACGUUGGCAGACUUACGCUAAUACCGCAUACGUCCUACGGCUGAAAGCAGGGGAUCUUCGGACCUUGCGCGAUUGAAUGAGACGAUGUCGGAUUAGCUAGUUGGCGGGGUAAAGGCACACCAAGGCGAGGAUCAGUAGCUGGUCUGAGAGGAUGAUCAGCUACACGGGAACUGAGAAAGAGCAGAGACUCCUACGGGAGGAAGCAGUGGGGAAUAUUGGAGAAAGGGGGAAAGGCUGAUACAGCAAUACCGCGGGGGUGAUGAAGGAGCUCGGGUGGUAAAGCGAUUUUGUUGGGAAAGAAGUGCAGCAGGUUAAUACGCCACGGUACUGACGGUACCGAAAGAAUAAGCACCGGCUAACUUCGUG
rnacentral:rRNA from 1 species